rnacentral:rRNA from 1 species
UAUCACUUAGCGGCGGACGGGUGAGUAAUGCUUAGGAAUCUGCCUAUUAGUGGGGGACAACAUCUCGAAAGGGAUGCUAAUACCGCAUACGUCCUACGGGAGAAAGCAGGGGAUCACUUGUGACCUUGCGCUAAUAGAUGAGCCUAAGUCGGAUUAGCUAGUUGGUGGGGUAAAGGCCUACCAAGGCGACGAUCUGUAGCGGGUCUGAGAGGAUGAUCCGCCACACUGGGACUGAGACACGGCCCAGACUCCUACGGGAGGCAGCAGUGGGGAAUAUUGGACAAUGGGGGGAACCCUGAUCCAGCCAUGCCGCGUGUGUGAAGAAGGCCUUAUGGUUGUAAAGCACUUUAAGCGAGGAGGAGGCUCUUUUGGUUAAUACCCAAGAUGAGUGGACGUUACUCGCAGAAUAAGCACCGGCUAACUCUGUGCCAGCAGCCGCGGUAAUACAGAGGGUGCAAGCGUUAAUCGGAUUUACUGGGCGUAAAGCGCGCGUAGGCGGCCAAUUAAGUCAAAUGUGAAAUCCCCGAGCUUAACUUGGGAAUUGCAUUCGAUACUGGUUGGCUAGAGUGUGGGAGAGGAUGGUAGAAUUCCAGGUGUAGCGGUGAAAUGCGUAGAGAUCUGGAGGAAUACCGAUGGCGAAGGCAGCCAUCUGGCCUAACACUGACGCUGAGGUGCGAAAGCAUGGGGAGCAAACAGGAUUAGAUACCCUGGUAGUCCAUGCCGUAAACGAUGUCUACUAGCCGUUGGGGCCUUUGA